ACAUCCAGAGAACUUGGCAGAGAUGCCUUGGUGCCUUCGGGACCUCUGAGACAGGUGCUGCAUGGCUGUCGUCAGCUCGUGUUGUGAAAUGUCGGGGUUAAGUCCCGCAACGAGCGCAACCCCUAUCCUUUGUUGCCAGCGAUUCGGUCGGGAACUCAAAGGAGACUGCCGGUGAUAAACCGGAGGAAGGUGGGGAUGACGUCAAGUCAUCAUGGCCCUUACGAGUAGGGCUACACACGUGCUACAAUGGCGCAUACAAAGAGAAGCGACCUCGCGAGAGCAAGCGGACCUCAUAAAGUGCGUCGUAGUCCGGAUCGGAGUCUGCAACUCGACUCCGUGAAGUCGGAAUCGCUAGUAAUCGUAGAUCAGAAUGCUACGGUGAAUACGUUCCCGGGCCUUGUACACACCGCCCGUCACACCAUGGGAGUGGGUUGCAAAAGAAGUAGAUAGCUUAACCUUCGGGAGGGCGUUUACCACUUUGUGAUUCAUGACUGGGGUGAAGUCGUAACAAGGUAAGCGUAGCGAG
rnacentral:rRNA from 1 species